ACUCUCAAAUGGGUCCCACUGAAUACCACAAAAUUUUCCACAUUUAUACUUUAUACUAAGUCAAUGUAGUUUAAUUUAUUUUUUUAAUUUAUUUCUUUGCCAAAACAGCAGCAAAGCACUGUGCUUCUGCAAUUGAACGAUGCAAGUUUAUGCACGUUCCUUAUACAUGAAUUAUCGGUUCACCUCUGACACAAAGUAUUUAAAAGACUGUAGAAACGUUUUCAUAGC
rnacentral:lncRNA from 1 species